rnacentral:rRNA from 2 species
GACCUCAGAUCAGGCAAGGCUACC